GACGAACGCUGGCGGCGUGCCUAAUACAUGCAAGUCGAGCGCAGGAAACUGACGGAACUCUUCGGAGGGAAGGCAGCGGAAUGAGCGGCGGACGGGUGAGUAACACGUAAGGAACCUGCCUCAAGGAUUGGGAUAACUCCGAGAAAUCGGAGCUAAUACCGGAUAGUUCAUCGGACCGCAUGGUCCGUUGAUGAAAGGCGCUUCGGCGUCACCUUGAGAUGGCCUUGCGGUGCAUUAGCUCGUUGGUGGGGUAACGGCCCACCAAGGCGACGGUGCAUAGCCGACCUGAGGGGGUGAUCGGCCACACGGGGACUGAGACACGGCCCAGACUCCUACGGGAGGCAGCAGUAGGGAAUCUUCCACAAUGGACGAAAGUUUGAUGGAGCAACGCCGCGUGAGUGAUGAAGGUUUUCGGAUCGUAAAACUCUGUUGUAAGGGAAGAACACGUACGAGAGGAAAUGCUCGUACCUUGACGGUACCUUACGAGAAAGCCACGGCUAACUACGUGCCAGCCGCCGCGGUAA
rnacentral:rRNA from 1 species